rnacentral:rRNA from 1 species
UACGAAGGGGGCUAGCGUUGCUCGGAAUCACUGGGCGUAAAGCGCACGUAGGCGGAUUGCUAAGUCAGGGGUGAAAUCCUGGAGCUCAACUCCAGAACUGCCUUUGAUACUGGCGAUCUUGAGUCCGGGAGAGGUGAGUGGAACUGCGAGUGUAGAGGUGAAAUUCGUAGAUAUUCGCAAGAACACCAGUGGCGAAGGCGGCUCACCGGCCCGGUACUGACGCUGAGACGCGAAAGCGUGGGGAGCAAACAGG